AUGAGAAAUGGUUAUUCUAAUUUAUGCCAUCAAAUUUCUUCCCUAAAUCGGUUCAAGUUCCUGUAGGUUUGGAGUCCUCAGUGAGAACUUUUUAAGAGAA